rnacentral:rRNA from 1 species
UGGGGAAUAUUGCGCAAUGGGGGGAACCCUGACGCAGCCAUGCNGCGUGAAUGAAGAAGGCCUUCGGGUUGUAAAGUUCUUUCGGUAUUGAGGAAGGUUGAUGUGUUAAUAGCACAUCAAAUUGACGUUAAAUACAGAAGAAGCACCGGCUAACUCCGUGCCAGCAGCCGCGGUAAUACGGAGGGUGCGAGCGUUAAUCGGAAUAACUGGGCGUAAAGGGCANGCAGGCGGUUAUUUAAGUGAGGUGUGAAAGCCCCGGGCUUAACCUGGGAAUUGCAUUUCAGACUGGGUAACUAGAGUACUUUAGGGAGGGGUAGAAUUCCACGUGUAGCGGUGAAAUGCGUAGAGAUGUGGAGGAAUACCGAAGGCGAAGNCNGCCCCUUGGGAAUGUACUGACGCUCAUGUGCGAAAGCGNGGGGAGCAAACAGGAUUAGAUACCCUGGUAGUCCACGCUGUAAACGCUGUCGAUUUGGGGGUUGGGGUUUAACUCUGGCGCCCGUAGCUAACGUGAUAAAUCGACCGCCUGGGGAGUACGGCCGCAAGNUUA